GAUGCAGAGAAGAGUCCGGAGAGCGCCGUGACGAAAACGCAGCUCACGUUGGAAGCUGCUGAAAUUGGCGCUUGCUAUAUUAUUUUUUGGAAGCUCAUUAGUUGAUUAGAAGUGUAUGAGAAGUCGAUCUCCAGCGUGUGAUACUAAACAUGCAGAGUUUACGGAUAUUCAUAUGAUCCAAAAAGUUGUGGGUUUAUUUGGUCACCAGCCUCAGAUGCAGAGGAUAAUAACAUGUGGCCUUCUCGGUAUUGAAUAUGACGCAGAGCUAGAUGUGGAUGAUGUGGUUGAUUAUGAAAGCUGGACUCACCGUCGCCACAGCUUUAAUCAACGUUUCGGUCGCGACACAUUAAGUGAAAACCGUACGGGAGCCUCCAGCUCUACUUAUCAGUCCCCUCUACAUUACUACUCUUCAGUUCGUGGCAAAUCCAGCCCGCCAGCUUAUAAAGUUCAGACGAAGGACGGCGAUUCUGAACGAAAAACCCGUUUAUUACAAGAAACUAAAAAGAGCAAAGAAAAGGCGGAGAAAAAGCGGCUUAAGAAACAGAAACAGAAGCAAAGGAAACAAAUGGAGAAAGUGAAACAAAAUCCUGGAGAACCUCAAGAGGGAGACGCUGCGGAAGAAUCGGAGGAGAGUAAAUCUGUCGAUGAUGACGAGAGGAAGAAGAACGUGGCUGCAGCGAAAGACACAGACAGCGACAGCAGCAGCGGACAGGAAUCCAGCGACGAAGACGGCAAAAAUGACUCGCACGAUUUCGAGGAACUGGAUAUGGCGAGUUCUUUUGUGACCAAAGCGGCUCUUAUAGCGCAGCGGAAAUUGGAGCAAAAGCCCAAAUCGGAUAAAAAGGAGAAAAAGAAAACUCCGGAGAAGGAGAAGUCUAAAAGUGUUCCUGUUAAAACGUCUGAGGAUAAAGAGGAUGUGAAGGGGGCGCAGCAAAAGGAUUCCGUCGUCCUCAGCGCUCCUUCUAUAGAAGAUAAUAUAAAAAUAAGUACUGAUCUCGCAAUUAUAGGAAAUAAAUUUGCCAGCACAGGAGACUACGGUAUGGCUGUGAAGUAUUUCACAGAUGCAAUUAAGUACAACCCUAAAGAGUUUAAGUUGUUUGGGAAUCGCUCCUUCUGUUUUGAAAAGACGCAGCAGUAUGAGAAGGCGCUGACGGAUGCAGAGUUGGCGCUCAGCUUUUCUCCAGGAUGGGUGAAAGGUCUCUUUAGAAAAGGCAAAGCUCUAGCAGGUCUAAAGAGAUAUAAAGAGGCCGCUGAUGCCUUCAAGGACGUCCUGAAACGAGAGAGUUCCUAUGCAGAAGCGGCCCAGGAGCUCAUGCGAGUUCAGAUAAUACAACUGAUGGCGUACGGUUUUACCCGAGAGCAGAGCUCUAAUGCUUUAAUCAUUCAUGGUUCUGUAGAUAAAGCCUUAGAGGUUCUGUCUAAAUUACACAGUCCACCAGGAGCCGUUUUAAAUGGACCCCUCCCACCGGCUCAACUAGCAAACGUGACCGGAGUCUCUCCAGUUCUUUCUGCCAAUUCUAGUCCUGCGCCUGUUGCUCCUGCUAAGUCACAUGAUGCAACUAAGAAACCUCUUCUGGACAAACCCUUAGGCCUAGUUCAGAAUAUACCCAAUGUUGACAAUCAGUCCAAACUUGCUUACAACCAGGCUGGGAGGAUAAAUAGCGAUAGAAACCCACCGGAGUUGUUUCCAGUUUGGGUGGGAAACUUGUGUUUUCCAGCAACUGAAGCCAUGAUUAGCAAGCUGUUUAGCAAGGCCGGCCCGGUCUUUAGUGUGAAGCUUCUUACUGUCAAACGUUGUGCCUUUGUGAACUUUACUAAACAAGAGCACUGCGACGAAGCCAUCAGACUCCUUCAUGCCUCUUUGGAAUCUCAAACAAACUCUCAUCAAAAUCAGGUAGGGACUCAACUUGUUCUUUGGCCUGAGAACGAGUAAUCACAGGACAAGAAACUUUGCCAACUUUGCCCCCCUCAGUUUGUACCUCUUCCAAAAGAUGAAACAUCACAGGUAAAUCAGUACCCAAAAUGAUAUCAAAAGGUAGAUUUUCCACCACACCAACAGUCAGCAAAUAUGGUUGAUCAUCAAUAAUGACAGUCACUUCUGCUUUUGGAUAAACAUGACAAUCUCCAUGCACACACAGAAUCUCAGUUUUCUUUUCAUAGUUCACACAUCCAACAGGUACAAGACUCUUUUUUAUAAGUGAUGUGGAACUACCACUGUCUAUUAAUGCAGUCACCCGCUGUCCAUUCACAGUCACAGUUUUAUGAGUUCUAGUUUCAAAGUUUUUGACUGCAGCAUGAUUUUCCACUCUAGGUGCAUAGCAGGACCCAGUAAACUUAGUCCUCUUUAUUGGGCACACUGAAGCCUUGUGGCCCAGCUGCUGACAAUAAUAGCAAAUCAAUGGCUUACCAUUAGAUGGUGGAUUCAGAGAACUGGUGGUACCUUUAACCUCUUGGCUUGGGUCUCUGGCAUAACGUUGAUGUCCAGCCGGUUGAACAGGUCGCGGUACAGGGUGGGAGAAACGUGCUGCUCCUCCUCGCCGUGCGUUCAUGUACUGUAGAGCCAACUUUGCAGCAGUCAGACCAUCCGUAGGUUCAUGUUCCUUCACCCAGGUCCUUACAUCAGAGGGCAGAAUGCUCAGCAGUUGUUCCUGGAUGAUGAGCUCCCCGAUGUCCUCCUUGGAAUGCUGGUCCGGCCGGAUCCAUCGUCGGUAGAGACCUCUAAGGCGGUGGGUUAUGAUCUGCAUGGCAUAAAGAUAGCUGUGAGAUACCCGGACCGCAUUCCUCCAGGGAUGGGCAUCUCCAGGUCUGCGCUCAGAGCUCGAGAUCUACAUGAUGAGAACCUCAG